GAUGAACGCUAGCGGCAGGCCUAAUACAUGCAAGUCGGACGGGAUUUGGGAGCUUGCUCCCAAUGAGAGUGGCGCACGGGUGCGUAACACGUAUGUAACCUACCUUUAUCAGGGGGAUAGCCUCUCGAAAGAGAGAUUAACACCGCAUAAAAUCACAAUGCAGCAUUGCAAAAUGAUCAAAUAUUUAUAGGAUAAAGAUGGGCAUGCGGAACAUUAGCUAGAUGGUGAGGUAACGGCUCACCAUGGCCACGAUGUUUAGGGGAUCUGAGA
rnacentral:rRNA from 1 species